ACAACACUCUUUAAAAAGACAACAAAUUUCUUGGCGAGUGGACGUGUCGGCGGACAAAAAGCUUGCAAACAGAACAGAAGAACACAGAAGUGAACGACACGACACGGACAGCGGGGAAAGGUGGCAAUUGAAAGAAAGUGCCAUACUGAGUGUGCGAGCGAGAGAGAGAGCAAACUGGGUAUUGCCUGUGUGUUUGUAGUAGUUUAGUGUGCGUGUGUUUGGGAGUUUGUGUACGAAGCGAGUGGCUAGGAAAAACAACAAACAUUAUUCCAAGGAAAUUUCCAAUCAUGUCGGUGGAAUCCUCCAGCUCGGCGGUUCAACAGCCGCCGUCGUCCUCGAACCUACCGCUCCUGGGCGACAACCAGGUGGUGGCCACGACCAGCUCUGCCUCCUCGGCCUCUUCCUCAUCCACAUCGUCGUCCUCCUCGUCGGUGGGCGGCGGCAAUGUGGUGGGCGUGCCGCUGGACACGCAGGGCAGCGGAGAACCGCCGGCCAAGAAACAGUUGUUGGAUGGAGGGGGCGGUGGUGCCACCAGCAGCAGCGGCAGCAGCUUGCUUUCCAGUGCCGCAGCCGCCUCGGGAAUGCACGAAAAGCUGGCCCACCGCAUCUCCAAUGCCCUGUGCUGCGCCGUCUGCCUGGAUUUGCCCAAGACGGCCAUGUACCAGUGCCAGAUGGGCCAUCUGAUGUGCGCCGCCUGUUUCACGCAUCUGCUGGCGGAUGGACGCUUGCGCGAUCAGAUUGCCACGUGCCCCAAUUGCCGCGUGGAAAUUUCCAAGAGCACUGCGUCGCGCAACUUGGCCGUGGAGAAGGCCGCCUCAGAAUUGCCCAGCGAGUGCCAAUUCUGCAACAAGGAGUUCCCAUACAAAUCGCUCGAACGCCAUGAACAACACGAGUGCCAGGAGCGCCCGACCAAGUGCAAAUACCAUCGCAUUGGCUGCCAGUGGCGGGGACCCUACCACGAGACCAACGAGCAUGAGCGCAACUGCUUGCAUCCCCAGAAGUCUGGCUACGAGGUAAUGGCGGCCCUGGAGGCCCACGACGAUAGGAUCAAGGAGGAGAAGAAGAUGUUUAACACCCUGAUUGACUUGCUUAGCUACGAGAAGAUCAUAUUCAAUGAUCUCCAAAUGAAGCCCUACCGCACAGACGAGUACGUACACAAGCUCUUUUAUGAGACGGCCCGCUUCUCGGCCUUCAAUCAGCAGUGGGUGGUGAAGGCGCGCAUCAACAACAGCCAGCGCGAUCCGCAUCAGUCCAACGAGCGGACCAUCACCUAUCAGCUGAUCCUCAAGACAAAGACCAGCACGCCCAUGAGCAUACAUUUCUUUGCGCUGAAGGGUCCGUUCUCGGAUAUGAAAGUUUCCACGCAGAUAUACAAACAUGAAUUCACCGAGACGAGUACCGAAAGCGAGUACUAUGUCUUGCCAUUGCCAGAUGGAAUCGGCGGUAGCGGCUCCAGCGAAUGCAACCGUAUGCUGGCCAACAAAGGCAUUAACUUCCGCCUGCUCAUGUUUCUGCUGAAUAAGUAGACGCUUUCGCUGCUCAGCGAAUUAAGAUUUUCAAAUUAGCUUAAGUUUGUUGUUUCAAACUCUUGAAUGUGCAAAACCUAGACAUAGUUGACUUAUAUUUUCUAUCAAUGUAUAUGUAACACUCCGAGGCGGAAACCACAAGCCUGGCCUAACAGAGAACCGCUUCCCGAUAGCCCGCAACCCGUUCCCGAUCCCAUUCAUGUUUCAAUGAAGUUUAAGAUCACGCAAACGUAAGGCGUGCUGGUGGCGAAAUGGAUACGAUACGAUGGACAAGACGGCUGAUGUGUGUUUGACUAGCGCUUAAUGAUCUCACAGGAAGGAGCCAGCCCACGCUAACGCGAUAAUACCGAUAAUAACCAUAAAAUAGCCGUAGAUUAACUGUCCGGACGCAGGGACCUCGAGUCCACGGCUCCGUUUUCACUGUAAGAAGUACAACACCAAGUUGAAAUUCGAACUCUAAGCAGGCGCAUAUAGAACGCUCUAUGAUAUAACGUAGCGAUAGACUAACUACGAUCACAUAGCCCGGCCCAUCAAAAACAAAAAUAAUUAAAAGUCAAGUCCUCACGUUCGAUUCUUGUCUAAUCCUCGUUCUGUUGACCCUCUUACGAUUUAAUGCUUACAACUUACAUUCGUACGUGUAAUAUUUAUAUGCAUCGUUAAAUGAUAACUAUACCUAAUGCAUAUAUAAUAAAGAUACUUC
rnacentral:misc_RNA from 1 species